rnacentral:rRNA from 1 species
CAAUAGCGUAUAUUAAAGUUGUUGCAGUUAAAAAGCUCGUAGUUGGAUUUCUGGUUGGAGCGACCGGUCGGGCAUUGAUUUGUCUGCACUGGAGUCGGUUCUGGCCAUCCUCUUGGAAAGUGCGUCUGUCAUUAAGUUGUCGGGCGUAUGAUCCAGGUCUUUUACUGUGAAAAAAUUAGAGUGUUUAAAGCAGGCCUUCGCCUUGAAUACAUUAGCAUGGAAUAAUAAGAUAGGACUUUGGUCUAUUUUGUUGGUUUGCAGACCGAAGUAAUGAUUAAUAGGGAUAGUUGGGGGUAUUUAUAUUCCGAUGUCAGAGGUGAAAUUCUUAGAUUUUCGGAAGAUAAACUUAUGCGAAAGCAUUUACCAAGGAUGUUUUCAUUAA